rnacentral:rRNA from 1 species
GUGUGUGUGUGUGUGGUUAAUCCUCAGAAUUUUGGUCAUUGAGGAUUGGUUGGYUUGGGAGAGAUUGACUGAGAGUUGGUGCUCUCAAAUGUCGUGCAGAAUCUCUCCUUAGAAGCCAUUAGUGCUGCUGCUCAUGUUAUUACAACUUUCAGCAAUGGAUCUCUUGGUUCUCGCAUCGAUGAAGAACGCAGUGAAAUGCGAUAACUGGUGUGAAUUGCAUCCUUGUAACUCUAAUUUACGAAUAACACCAAGUGAAUCAUCGAGUCUUUGAACGCAAUUGYGCCCUCUCGGUCGCUUCCAAUUGGGGGUUGACUCAUAGAGGGUACAUCUGUUCGAGGGUCAUUUGAAUCUCUCAAAGGGUCGGCUCUAGUCUGUCCUUUGGAAUUGGGUCUUGCUGGUGAUAAUCUCAGCUUGCCUGGAAAGCAUUAGCAAGUCUUUAAUGAGACGUCAGGUCUUUUUAAGUGAAGAGGUGAAAGGUUUUUGUGAAGCCUCCCUCAUGACCAAAAGUCUCUUGAGUGAUUAAAACUUGCUUCUAAUCAUCUGUGAUGGGAUAAUAAGUCCUUUCA